CACUAGUAGUUUAUUCCCCUGGCGAUUAAUAAAUAUUUAAAUUCAUUAUCAUUAAAUAAUAAAACCAAUUUAAGUUUAUAUGGUUAUUUUUAAUUAAUUCUGUAAUUAAUAGAUUCGGUUCAUGUUGAUUUGAUUUUUAUCAACGAAAUUAUUUAGUUUUAUAUUCACUGCGGUAUUUGUGCCAUUUCAAAAAGAUGAUGCAAGUCAAAUCAUACUUUUGGUAUUAAUCAAUGUAUCGUAUAUUGUGGAAAGAUCGAUCAAAGUUGCAGAGAGCGCACAACUGCAAAUUGAGACACUGAAAUAGAGGAAUAAAGGCAAUCAUAGGGGAGAGGAAGCAUGUUUAAUCAGAUGAGGAUGAAUAAAUGUCAGUG